UCCUACGGGGCGCAGCAGUGAGGAAUAUUGGUCAAUGGGCGGGAGCCUGAACCAGCCAAGCCGCGUGAGGGAAGAAGGUACAGCGUAUCGUAAACCUCUUUUGUCAGGGAACAAAGGCGGGGACUAGUCCCCGGAUGAGGGUACCUGAAGAAAAAGCAUCGGCUAACUCCGUGCCAGCAGCCGCGGUAAUACGGAGGGUGCGAGCGUUAAUCGGAAUUACUGGGCGUAAAGCGCUCGUAGGCGGUAUGUCAAGUCAAGGGUGAAAUCCCCGCGCUCAACGUGGGAACUGCCUUUGAAACUGGCAA
rnacentral:rRNA from 1 species